UACGUAGGGCGCAAGCGUUGUCCGGAAUUAUUGGGCGUAAAGAGCUCGUAGGCGGCCUGUUGCGUCCGCUGUGAAAUCCCGGGGCUCAACCCGGGGCCUGCAGUGGAUACGGGCUGGCUGGAGGCAGGCAGGGGAGAACGGAAUUCCUGGUGUAGCGGUGAAAUGCGCAGAUAUCAGGAGGAACACCGGUGGCGAAGGCGGUUCUCUGGGCCUGUUCUGACGCUGAGGAGCGAAAGCGUGGGGAGCGAACAGG
rnacentral:rRNA from 1 species